rnacentral:misc_RNA from 1 species
GUAUUAUAUCGCGUUAAACGCAGAGUGCAUUCCAUAAGACUUCGCUACGGCGUAUGUGUAAAGACAUAGAACCACGGGAGGGAGACGGCACGUCCCCCAGACCAUGGAACUACAGUGGGUGCACAGGUGUGAGUGGAUGUGUGAACAGAGCGUGCACAUGCCCCCGUUUGGGGACCAGCAACAACUCGUGUCAACAACUCUGUAAUGAUCCUUCCGCAGGUUCACCUACGGAAA